rnacentral:rRNA from 1 species
UACAGAGGUCUCAAGCGUUGUUCGGAUUCAUUGGGCGUAAAGGGUGCGUAGGUGGCGCUGUAAGUCGGGUGUGAAAUUUCGGAGCUUAACUCCGAAACUGCAUUCGAUACUGCGGUGCUUGAGGACUGGAGAGGAGACUGGAAUUUACGGUGUAGCAGUGAAAUGCGUAGAUAUCGUGAGGAAGACCAGUGGCGAAGGCGGAUCUCUGGACAGUUCCUGACACUGAGGCACGAAGGCCAGGGGAGCAAACGGG